rnacentral:lncRNA from 1 species
UGCAAUUCUUGAGUUUCUGUAUCUCGAUCAAUUUGUCUGUAUUUAAGCAAGUUGUUUGUCUAUACCUAAGCAUCAAAAGAGCAUUUUAAAAUAUGUAUAUAUGUGGUUAUGUGUAAGAGCAACUUUAUUUUGGUUUGGAAACUUGUAAAGUUCAAUUGUAUUAACUUUAAUAAGUCUUUGGGUCACUUAAAGUGGCCAGCCCUUUGAAAGUAGAUGUGUAAGUGGGUUAAUUUAUGAGCAGAAAUCUGUACUUUAUUGUAUAAAAUGCUAUGUGUAUAUGAAUCUUAUGAAAUUGUAUCAUAAUUUGCACUUUGAGAGGCUUGAGAGGCUUGUAAAUUAAGUUGUUUUGUGUUUUUAGGUUAAUAUAGGGUCCGUCUUAGGGAGAAGAAAGGGAAGUGAGUUCGAAAAGGGAAUGAUAUUACAGUGGCUGCUUGAUAAACAUUGGGAAGAGAGGCAAGAAAUUAAAAACAUUCCACUACCCAUGGAGGUGGCCUAAUUCACCAAAAAUCAAACCUUUUUAUGGAGAUCCUACUUGUUAAAAAAAAAAAAUUCUGUCUUGAAUGAAACAAAAAUAUUGAUCUGGCCUAUGUUAGUAAUGGCACUGGCUGCUGCCAUUUAUGGUGUCAGUAGAUAAGCCCCAGGGCAUAUUCACUACAUCAGUGCAACUUUUUGUCAGUGUCUGCUCAGAGGAACUUACUCUGCACUGAAGAGUGUGUGCAUGGGCCCAGCACGGAUAUCAUUUGCACUGUUGCUGUAUGCAGGCAGUCCUUUAGGGCUCCAAACUGUAUUUUUGGUACGAAUCAAAUUUAUCACAAUGGGGUCUUUUGCUCUUUUGUUGUUGUUGUUCUAUUUUUUUGUUUCAUUUCUUAAUGUAACAUAAUGUUUACUUCUGCACUGUCAGUAACUGUUGGAAGUGGGCAAUCUGUGGCUACUUAUACAACACAUUUGCAGGCAGGCAGUUCACAUUCCAUUUAACUUUUUCUUUCUAUCUGUGGAAAUGACAGAGCCCUGCAUUUUUUGUUGCCACACAAUGAUUGGGAACAGAUUUGACAAUUUUCAUAACUCAGACUACAUUAGCUUAUAAUAGUUCAUGUUAAAGAUGGCGCUUUUUAUAGAUUGCUUCCAAGUCAAGUUGGUUUGUUGACUCUUACAACUGGAAGUCAUAUAGGUGAUCUUUAUUCUCAACAUUUCUUUGUCCUCUUCUGUAUAUUUUUCCUAUUUAUGACAUGUCUGGUCUAUGAGUUCAAGCCUUUGUUUCACUUAUUCACAGGAAGGCACCAUGCUAUGAAUUACUAGGGCUGACUUCACUCAGAUAUGCUAACCCCAUGUACUUGUUGAAGAUAGCGGAGUUUACCAGGAGUUGGUGGAAUUUAUUCUUUACAUCCAAAUAAAUUGUAAUGGAAAUAAUAAGUAAAACUGCAGGACAGUUUUAGGAUUUGGUGGCACUACCGAAGAUCCUUCCUUCAAAGCAAGAUAUUGUGUUUUGAGGGAAGAAAAGCUUAAUUUUUAGUAAACUUGUUUCUAAUAUGUAAUCAUAUUUAUAUUUUUAUGCUGUAAAGAGUCGUAUGGAACUGAUGUUAUUGGCCUCGUUGAGAAUGUGUCAUGUGCUUUGGCAUACCUUACUGGAAUUCCUCCUGAGAGUUGAGUGUAAAAACUGCUCCCAUCUGUUCCUCUUCUUUUCAUAAACAAUUGUCACAUAAGGGCUAAUGGUUACAUCUCACAUAUUUUGAGUAACAAUUAAAAUAGUUUUACAAGUCCAGU